GUUCUCCUCCUUUUCUCCUAUUUUAGCUUUAGCUUUUUCUGGACAACUGAAACAUAAAGUCUGUUAAAGGUUUCCGUGUUUAUGGUCACAAUGAAGGUCAUCAUCUUCUUUCUUAUCCUGGGGAUACAGGGAGCAGCGGCAGUGACCCACUCUCUGAAGUAUUUCUACACUGCCUCCUCUCAAGUCCCAAACUUCCCAGAGUUUGUGACUGUUGGGAUGGUUGAUGAUGUUCAGAUUAAUUAUUAUGACAGCGACACGGAGAGAGAGGUGCCCAAACAGGACUGGGUGAACAAUGCAGUAGACCCACAGUUCUGGGAGAGGAACACUGAUAUCUCCAGGGGUUCCCAGCAGACGUUCAAAGCCAACAUUGAGACUGCAAAGCAGCGCUUCAACCAAUCUGGAGGUGUUCACAUUGUGCAGCAGAUGUACGGCUGUGAAUGGGAUGAUGAAACAGAUGAAGUGAACGGAUAUGAGCAGUUUGGUUAUGAUGGAGAGGACUUUAUAAGCUUUGACCUGAAGACAGAGACGUGGGUCGCUCCUGUACAACAGGCUGUCAUCACCAAAUACAAGUGGGACAGUAACAGAGCUCUGAUCACACAGAGGAAGAACUACCUCACCCAGAUUUGUCCUGAGUGGCUGAAGAAGUAUGUGAACUAUGGGAGGAGCUCUCUGAUGAAAACAGUUCUUCCCUCAGUGUCUCUCUUCCAGAAGUCUUCCUCCUCUCCGGUCACCUGCCACGCUACAGGUUUCUAUCCUGACAGAGCCGAGAUGGUCUGGAGGAAAGAUGGAGUGGAGGUUCAUGAGGGUGUGGAGAAAGGAGAGAUUCUCACCAACAAUGACGGGACCUUCCAGAUUAGUGUUGAUCUGGAUCUUUCAUCAGUCACACCUGAAGACUGGGAGAGGUACAACUGUGUGUUUCAGCUCUCUGGUGUGAACGAGGACAUGGUCACCAAACUGGACAAAGCAGUGAUCAGAACCAACAAGGGUAAAAGUGAUGAAGGAAAUUUCCUCGCCAGGAUCUUUGCGACCAUGAAACAAUGGUUCUCGCAGUGAUUGCUGUAAUUGGUUUCAUUGACUACAAAAAGAGAACAGGAUUUUCCAUUUUUGAGAAAAUGUCAGAUCAGAGCAGGAUGUGGACUAACAGCGUGUUUGUGACGUGACUUUCUGAGUCUCUAGAGCAAAUGACAAACAGCCCUGCAAACAGUUUAUGGACAAAUUUUGCACUGAAACAAGAAGCAUCAACAAGCCUCAUUUGCCCCCAUAAACUGUGACCUCAUCAGCUGUUCAUCAUUCACAUCAUAAAAUGAAGUGUUAAGAUCUAGUUAUGUUGUGGAUUUUUUUAUGACAUAUAUACCUGUAUACACUGGACAUAUACUCACAUGUAUACUAUGUAAUCACAUAUAUUAGUAUACACCAUACACACCUAUACUGUAGUUUUUUAUAUAUUGGAAUCACUGUGUUAAGCAUUUAACCUACAUGCUCGAAAUCACAAGACCCAUAAAUUGAGGUCAAAUAUUAUCUACAUUUAUAUUAAUAAAGUUUGUGCCACUUGUUGUAUGAGCACAUGCUGAUGAAUACUGUUUGAAAUGUAAUAAUUGGGAUCAAUAAGUAACCUCUGAUAGUGUUAUGGCCAACCCCAUCCAAACAUAGGGUUAAUUCAACUUGGCACUGCUGAGGAUGCACCUGAGACUCUUUUCUCCCAAAGUUGUGAAAAACCUUUCUUUAUCAAAUAUAGUGGCCCACCUCAAACCAGAGUUUGCCAAGGUUGUCAGGAUGAUUAACUGUUAUCUGUGAGAUUUGUAGACUUUUGGACUCACUCUGGCCAUAAAACUGACAAAGGGAUCCAAUUAAAAAUGAUGGAUGCUGGGAAUAGGGCUCGGAAAAGUUUCGGAGUAACCCAGAAGGUUAAGUGACACAAGUGUCGGAGAUUAAAAAAGCUGCAAAGUGCAAGUGGGUUUGACAACCGCUUGGGGGGAAAGGAUUGACAAACAUAUUACAUCAAUAAUUGGGGUAAUAUUGAUAUUUAUAGUGUUAAGAAAGUACUUAUUAGUUUAAAAUUAAUACGGUCCAAGUAAAAAACAAGGAAGGAAAGUUACCAAACAGCAGGAAGAGGGAUCACUGAUCCCAUAUAAAGGAAGGUUAGAUAUGCCCGGGCAGCUUUUUUUUCCUGGCUGUCAUUUUAUGUGUCUCUGCUGUUUAUGCUUAAAGGCUCUACACCCUUCGCUUUGCGGGCUUGCUAUAUGCUGUUGUGCGGUAUUGUACUGUUUUGCUGUGCAUAUAACACUGUUUAAUAAACUCAGUUUUAAGAAUUCUA